AGAAAAAAAACCAACCAUUUUUUGAGGGCCUUGUGUUUCUUGGCCCUCAAAGGAACCUAGAGCCUCUAACCAAUGUUUUCUAGGGUUUCUCUCUAUCUCUCACUUGCUUAGUUUUAGGUGUGAGAGUAAGGACUACAUCUUGUUUUUCUCUCUCUUUAUUUUAGGAGUGAGGAAGAGUUAGGGUUUAGCUUUGAACUAGCAACAAAUUAAUCUAUCUUGUUUUACUUUUAGGGU
rnacentral:lncRNA from 1 species